UAUGAAGGGUGCAAGCGUUAAUCGGAAUUACUGGGCGUAAAGCGCGCGUAGGUGGUUCAGUAAGUUGGAAGUGAAAUCCCCGGGCUCAACCUGGGAACUGCUUUCAAAACUGCUGAGCUAGAGUACGGUAGAGGGUGGUGGAAUUUCCUGUGUAGCGGUGAAAUGCGUAGAUAUAGGAAGGAACACCAGUGGCGAAGGCGACCACCUGGACUGAUACUGACACUGAGGUGCGAAAGCGUGGGGAGCAAACAGG
rnacentral:rRNA from 1 species